AACGAACGCUGGCGGCAUGCCUAACACAUGCAAGUCGAACGAGACCUUCGGGUCUAGUGGCGCACGGGUGCGUAACGCGUGGGAACCUGCCCUUAGGUUCGGAAUAACUCCCCGAAAGGGGUGCUAAUACCGGAUAAUGUCUUCGGACCAAAGAUUUAUCGCCUUUGGAUGGGCCCGCGUUGGAUUAGCUAGUUGGUAGGGUAAAAGCCUACCAAGGCGACGAUCCAUAGCUGGUCAGAGAGGAUGAUCAGCCACACUGGGACUGGGACACGGCCCAGACUCCUACGGGAGGCAGCAGUGGGGAAUAUUGGACAAUGGGGGAAAGCCUGAUCCAGCAAUGCCGCGUGAGUGAUGAAGGCCUUAGGGAUGUAAAGCUCUUUUACCCGGGAUGAUAAUGACAGUACCGGGAGAAUAAGCUCCGGCUAACUCCGUG
rnacentral:rRNA from 1 species